rnacentral:rRNA from 1 species
UUACCGAUUUUAAUAUAUUUAUCUAACAACUUUUAAUUUAUGAUUAUUAAACAAUUUCACAUAUUUUACAGCAAACCAUUGCCCCCAUUUUAGUAUAG